rnacentral:lncRNA from 1 species
CAGGCAUCUGAAGUCCCAGCUACCCAGGAGGCUGAGGUGGGAGGAUAGCUUAAGCCCAGGAGGCAGAGGUUGCAGUGAGCUGAGAUUAUGCCACUGCACUCCAGCCUGGGUGACAGAGCCUGACCCCACCUCAGUUAAAAAAAAAAAAACAACACUCUUCCUGUGUCUAAUUAAUUCAAUUCAAGUACUCUUUUCAUUAGUUUUAACCUACAGAUUAUCUAAAUAAACUCCCGCUAGGGAAAAGCAGUCACACUGCAGAAGGUCUUUUCUUUUGACUUUUGGUAACUGGCCUAACAAACAGACUUUAAGUUUUAUUGAAAUAAUUCCUGUGCCAUUGUUAUUAAGUUUUGAUUUACAUAGAAAAACUGAGAUUACUUUUUAAAAUUAAGGUUAUUACAUCUAUAUAACUUUCUGCAUUGCUUUCAAAGUCCUUGUGCCAUUAAGUUGCAGGGCUUUGACUCCCGGGUCUAAAAGGGACACCAAGUCCUGCUAAAUCAUAAACAUUGACAGCAGUUAAAGCCUCGUCUUCAGACCUGGUAGAAGAUGACAAUCAAAAUAAACUGAAUUCGUGAGACACAGGGCCAGAAAUUAAAAUUAUUCCAACUCCUCUAAGCCCAGGGACUAUCGUGUGAGAUUGUAAGAGCCGAUUUUGAGAGAUACAUUUAGUUCAGUUUCUCUAUGAGUUAACCAUUAAUAUCAAAGGCACACUGAUCCAAGACCAGUGUCUGGGCCCCUAUGUCAAAUUAACAAGCUUUUCUUGGAGCAUUAACCUAGUCUUUAAUAAAAAAAAAUUAUAAGAUUAUGAAAAGGUUUAGGAAAAUUAUGUCUUGUGGUCAGGAUAAAUAAAAUGUAAUAGAUUUGUUAAUAAGAUUUGAGAGACAGAUUUAAUUGACCUCAUGCUGUCUUUAUUGGGGCUUAUUAUUUGGGAGGUUAAGUCUCCUCUCUCAAAGAAUGAAGGUUUUUUUGCCUUUAAAAAAAAUCUUUGAGUUAUCACUUUGGCUAAAUAAAUGACUUAGUUUACAAUUAACUGUGAGCCUAUUUUAUGAUAUCAAGUGUUUUAAGCUUUUUAUAUUUGAGAAACUUUCUCAAAUAAAAUUGUAAAUUCAGUCCUCAUUAGUUGUUUGAUGUUAGGUCCCCUGAAGUCCAAAAGAGACAUAUUCAACUUAUUUGGUAUAAUAAAAUCAUAUAGGAAGUAUUGUCAAAUAUGGAAUGGUGUUUAACCUUCUUUGGAUUAUAUUUAUAAAAGGCAUUAUUAUAUGCAUUCCAAAAUUGUAUGAGAGUCCUGUGAUUCUGAUAUGUCUUAGUAUAUGUUAUCAGUAGUAAUUAUUAUUAUGUAAAAUUGUUGUAUGCCACAGAAGUAACCAAAUUUCCUCGUUAAUUGUGUCUUUAACCAUGGCUAUUCUAAGACUUUUGUCAUCCACAAUUGUUAUUUUACUUUGACUCUUUUAUAGAGCAAUUUAUAAUCAGCAAUAGAACUCUGAGGAGUACUCUUAAAUAUAGGCUUUGAUAACUUUAGAGAUUGUGCCAGUGGAAUAGAAAUAAAAAUUUCCAGGGCUCUCAUGGAGAGCUGAUGUAUUCAUGAGGAUUGCUGACCCAAUAUCAGGCAAAACAAGAGUUAAUAGCAUGGACUGAACUAAUAAAAGAAAAAUAAACUUUCUAUAAUUUGUUUUGCUUAAAAUGUUGAUUCUUUUUGUUUUGUUUUUCAGAGUCAAAUUUUUUUUUCUUUUGAUCUAUUUACAGCUUUUAGUAAUGGAGUAAAGUUUACUCCUCUGAGGAAAACUUGGGGCAAAUUUCUUUCUACCUGAUUUCUCCAGGAUUUGGAAAAUAUUUGUGAGUAUUCUUAAAUUAUGGCAAUAUAGUUAUUUGUGUAAGUGCAAUGAGAAUCUGUUUUUCUUGUAUAACAGGACACCAUUGAAAACACUGAUUAUUUUACCAAGGCUUUGACUGGAAUGGCAUGCUCUCAAAUAUAAACAGACUGCUUUAAAGAAUCAAAGUUGAUUUAUGGAGCUAACUAAAGCCCUUUGGAAAAACUGGCCUCAGACCUUGUCUACUCAGUCCAUACACAGGGUUCCUGACCUGUGGUAAGUAAAGAACAUCAUUUUCUGACAAGCCCAGAAACCUCAAGUUAUCUCGGGACCUACAAAGGUGAGGAAUUCACCCAACUCAUACAAGUAUUUACAGGUGCAUUUAAAUCCGUGGCUGGGGUCAAGGAUUUAAAAGGUCUAAUCUAAGAUUCUUUAUGGAACAAAGUGCCAUCAAAGCCAAUUUUUUAAAAGAGCCUAUAUGGCAAAUAAUUAUUCUUGCUGCACUUUAUGCAAGUAAUCAGGCCAAAUACAAUAAAACUAAAACUUAUUUUGCAAACAAAUUGUUCCUUCCAUGAUUUGUCUUUGGUAAAACUUGGAGACUAGAAAGAGAAAAAACAUAUAUUUCAAAAUAAACUAGAGUAAACCUCUUACUAGAUUGUAGCCUUGCCAAAUGUUUUUCAAUUUUUAUUAUCUUCUAAAAUUUGGACUGAAUUCUAAAAUGUUUUCUAUGUCUUCAAAAUAAUAUUUUCAAUUUUUUCUCUUCUUUUUUCCCAGUUUUCUAGAUUUAAAAUUACUAAAAAUUAAGCUGUGCUUUCUUAAAGCCCUGUGAACUGAAGCUAGGCAACUUAAACUUCAGAAGAAAAUAACAGCAACCUAUUUAUAUACAUGAACUACUUUCAUACGUGUAUACUGAUGUAUGAAAUUCAGAGUAAUAUGGCCUACAUCUGUUUUGCAGGAUUGUUCUCUUGUUUUCUGUUUGUGUGUUAUUUUCUUUCUCUCUUCCUCCCCCUAUUUUUUCUUCAUAGGUCAUGUGACUUCACAACCAUCUAAAAAUGAGUUUUCCUAACAAUGUGGGAACUAGUCAUCUAGGAAUAAACUGUCCUAGCUACAAGAGAUCAGACAAAACCCAAGACCAGAGACUCAUUUUCUUCUAAAAUGCUUUCUCUGAAAAAUUUAAAAAAAGAAAAGAGAGAGAAAUGUGAAAGGAAAAUAAAAAGUUGGGACUCUAAUUUCACUAUGCCAAAAGAAAAAAAAAUUAAGCUGAAAGCUGAGUCAUGCAGGAAGCCUCCUUUCCUUUUGUUCCUAAACAGAUAGCUACGAGUAAAAACUUAAAUAUCUCUACAGGUAGCUACUCUAUGUUAAUCUUAUAUAAAAUGCUGACUUACUGAGCAUGAGACCAAUAUAUAAUUGACUAUUCCCUUUCCUGUUCCUUUUCUCUUCUAACACGUGGAUUCAGUAAUGUGACCAUACUCUUCCUGUUUUCCCUCUAGCUUGCUUUUCUCUUCUAAAUAUUGAAGCCCGCAAAAUCAUCUUUGGAGAAAGGCACAGACCUGUCUCCUGGGUGCAUGUCCUUAACCUUGGCAAAAUAAACUUCUAUAUUGAUUGAGAUCUGUCUCAGAUACUUGUUGGUUUACUCUACCAAAGCAGAAUAUGGAAUGUGGAGAUGAGAGUUUCAAAUAUUCCUACCACCUGAUUCUUCCUAAAGCAUGUAUAUUUCAAAGAAAAACCUCAAUAUGUGCCUCAGAUACUAUGCCAUUCUUUCUCUCAAGUUUCAGUCAUAGAUGCAGAACCAGUACAAUAAAUAAAUGAUAGAGACAGACAAACAUAAGGAGUAUUUAUUAAAAAGAAAUGGAAUAUGUGAUUAUGAGGGCUGGCUAAGCAAAUCUGAAAUUCAUAGAACAAGUGGCAGGAAGGGAAGAUCACAUGCAGAAAAGAAUUCCAUGGGCAUGGGCUGACAUAGUUGUUAACAGGGUAUCAGG